CCUGCCCUAAGAGUCUGAGACAGGAGAACACACGUCUACAGAGAGCCUGCCUAGAGUCUGGAUUUUUUAAGCUGCUGGAUACCAGGUGCUACCUGACACCAGCUCAUCCCCUGCCUCUAGAGUCCUGGAGGGCUUUGAGUUGAUCACUUUCCACUCCAGGAAUGUUAUAAGAAACCGCUCAGAAAGGAACAAUUUUAAUGGUCGUGACUGGUUAUCUUCUCCCUCAUCUUACGCUGCAUUGUGUGUGUUGGGCCCAGAUCUACAAUUCAACUUCCUCAUGAGCGCAUGAGUCAGCAUUUCUUCAUGGCCUGUCAUUCUGUACUGUUUGCAAAAGUAUGAAAAAUAGAGACCAGCCCAUGGGAAUUUUGCUGGAGAG
rnacentral:lncRNA from 10 species